rnacentral:lncRNA from 1 species
CUGGAGCGUACCCCAAUGCCACACUGCAGAGGCCCCCACCUCUCCACCAAUGCCCCCAACAGUUCACCUGGUCCUUGCACAGGCCCUGCCCCACAGAGGCAGACACCCUUACCUGCCUGUAGUGGAUCAAGGAACCCAGUCAAUGCAAGCUGAAAAGUAGCCUGAAGGCUUGCUGUUAGGUGGGGCCAGUCCCUAGGGCGGGUUGCCUGCCCUGGCUGAAUUGGGUUAAAUCUGUGCUCUAGUGGGUGUGGCAGACCCCUGGGCAAACAGGUCAAGGGAUGAACCUCAAUGGCACCCACCAGGGUCUUGUCAGCAUGCCUGGACCAGUUCAGAACAAUGGCCCCCACCAAUGUCUCAGUCUCCGGAGAGGUCUCUCUUCUCAUCAAAAUGCCCCGAGAGCCCACCAGGCAAAGAGAAAAAACCCGCACUGAAGUGGAUAGGAGAGGCUGAGACACGAUUGUGGUAACAUGCCAUCGUGAAGAAACAAAAUCCACAGCUUCUCCCUGAGGAGUAAAGGGUUCCUACUCCACAUCAGGCACCUCUGCUUUUAAGACCUGCACCUGAGAGAUGAGUCCCCAAAACAUCUAUCUUUGGAAACGAAUGGGGCUCAUGUCAACGAGAACCACAAAGGCUGUAAGGAACUGAGAAACAGCUCAUAAAGGACUUGUGCUUGGACUCAUUUACCCCAGGGCCCUGAGAGAGGCAGCCAGUCCUCAGAUUUUGUGUAAAAAAGUCUCACUUGCUAAUCUUAAGGCAUGAAGGGCAAGAGCCUGCUGGGAUACUCUCUUGGGAUGGAGGCUGGUGGUCACCGUCUUAUCACUCUCCUUCUGCCUUGCCGAAGCUGGCAGGUUCCAUCCGCAACCCCUACCCGGCCCCUAUGGCAUCCUUUGUUUGGGAGGGAGGGGGGUAUCAUUUUUACCACCUCCCCUGGGCCUCACUCCAGCAGGCAGUACUGUCUUGGUGCUCUCACUCUGCUGUACUCCAGCAACUCCCAGAGGGGAGCUUCUACAUGCUUCCAAUCAGCCUGACUCAGUCCUGACUGAGAUCUUCCCCUUUGGGACACGGAUAGGUCUUGGAACACUCUCAAGUACUGGGAGCCACUGAAAAUAAAGUAGGCUGCUUAGACAAGCACAAAGAUUUGAGAUACAGACUAAAGCUAAGGGCAGGGUUGAACAGCAAGUUUCGUAUCCUACACGAGACCACUCCUUCAGGACUGGGAGAGGCAGCAGUUUCAUCUGAUGCAUAGAAACUAACACAGAGUCAAGCAAAAUGAAGAAACAGAGGAAUUUCUUCAAAGCAAAAGAACAAAAUGAAACCUCAGAAAAAAACCUAAUGAAAAAGGGAGGAACUUGUCCAUGACGACAUGGCUACAUAUUGGCUAAAUGCUCAAAAACUGGAGAUGGAAUUUUUUUGACAAG